UGUGAUGAUGCCUUUUGGUAUCAGAUCUGGGAAUUUCGUUUCCAACGCUCCACUCACCGCCGUCCAGCAACUCGUCCCGCCUCCCCACCGUCUAUCCACUGCUGCGCCUGGCCUCGCCGUCGCCGUCGAUUGCAGCGCCUAGCCUCGCCGCGCUGCUGCGCCUCUCCUCGCUGCGCCGCGUAUUGCUACUCCUCGCCUCGCCGCACUGUCGAUUGCUGCGCCUCGACUCGCCAUCGAUUGCUGCCACCCAUUGAGAUCUCUAAAUCCUGACGCCUCACCCCCCUCGUCGCUCGACUGCACCUCCGCCUCAUUGUCUACGCUAUCACCAGGUACACCAUUUUCGACAGCACCAAACGGAGCAGCUUAUUAGGUUAAGUGGUUUUGAGUAUUCUUUGUUUUUUAAUUUGCUAAUGUAGUUGUGAUACCUAUAAUUUCUUCACUUUGUCUCUGCACUUCAAUUUGCUAAGGUUUUUGUUAAGUUCUUCAAUUUGUCUCUACAUUUGCUAAGGUUUUUGUUUGAGAAUUUUGAAGAACCGAGAGUCUUGGAAAAGAGAGGAUUUGAACCGAGAGUCAGCCACACACACACUACUGCAUUCUUCAAUUUCUGCUGUGAAACGUUUAAAUAACGUGAUUGGUUUGUUAGAUUUAAAUAACGAUUUAACCUAUGCAGGAAUUGCAAAACUAUCCUCGUUAGAUUAUACUUGACUCGGUGUUUCUGUAAAUUUUGAUUUUUUUCUUUACCUGUAUUUGUUUUGGCUUGGUUAACUAAGUAAUACUUCUGAAUAAAUUGUAAUUGGCUAAAUUUCAGGAAGUACUCGUACUUCUUUGUUUAUGUUUUGAACUCAUGUUGUGCAUGUGGUGUAGCAUCUAAUACAAAUAAGAAGAUUUCAGAGCUAGAUGUAUACACUGUUUCUGUCACUUUAUGUUAUUUUUGUCAAUAGCUGAAUCCAGACUGUGGUGACCUCAGAAAUCUUAGUUCUUAGCUGUGGGAGGUAUAUUCAACCGGUAAAUCCUGAACUUCGUAGCUUCAUUCGUUCAACUGGCAUGAAACUAGAAGUAGUUGACUCUAGAAAUGCAGCCUCUACUUGCAAUAUAUUGAACGAAGAUGGCAGAAUAGUAGCUGCGGCGCUUAUCCCAUACAGUCAAGAAUGAAGAAUGAAAUAACCCUUAGUCAAUGAAAAAGAUAAUUUAUCUAUUUUGAAGUACUGCAGAAGAUGAUUAAUGUUUCCUCUGAAUACUGGUUUGAUUACCAGCUAUUUGUUUUAUGUUUCAGGUUUUCAGGUUUGCCACUCUCUAGGAGGCGGAACUGGAUCUGGAAUGGGAACUCUUCUAAUUUCUAAAAUCAGGGAGGAGUAUCCUGACAGGAUGAUGCUUACUUUCUCGGUCUUUCCCUCGCCUAAGGUCUCAGACACUGUUGUUGAGCCCUAUAAUGCUACCCUUUCUGUUCACCAGCUUGUUGAGAAUGCUGAUGAGUGUAUGGUGUUGGAUAAUGAAGGACUCUAUGACAUUUGCUUCAGAACUCUUAAGCUCACCACCCCAAGCUAAGUUGAUUUUCCACAAACAUCUUCUACCUGAUUGCUUGCAGAAGUUGAUUAUCCCAGAGGGUUUCCAGCAGGAAUACUGGGGGAAGCUUUGUGCUCCAUGACGGGCCUCCUUAUGCAAAUGGGGAUUUACAUAUGGGACAUGCCUUGAAUAAGAUUUUGAAGGAUAUUAUCAACCGCUAUAAGUUUUGCAGUCUAUGGAUCAGGAUGCUAGAAAGGAGCUCACACCACUAAAAUUGAGAGCAAAGGCAGCAAACAUAAUUUUGGAAGAAAUGUGUAGAAUACAUAAUAUGGCCCUCCACUUAUAGACAUAACUUCAAUGAGCUGACGAAUGUUUAUUCCAAUAUUGUAUUGGGUUUGAUGGAUACUUUUUCAAUGUAGGAUGAUAAAGAAUAUUUGAAAUUAAUGAAUGAUAUUUUUAUUAUUCGUGUA